rnacentral:tRNA from 1 species
GUCCUUAUAGCUCAGUGGAUAGAGCACCUCGUUCCUACCGAGGGGGUCGCAUGUUCGAAUCAUGCUAAGGACGCCA